rnacentral:misc_RNA from 1 species
UUGAAGGAGAACAAGAUAGCCAAAGGAACUUUUGCAGUGGUUGGAAUCAUGUCUACUCUCGUCAUUUAUGGCAUCUUACAGGAAAAAAUCAUGAGAGUUCCCUACGGCCUGAACGAAGAAUUUUUUUCGUACUCAUUGUUUCUUGUCUUUUGCAAUCGGAUUACCACCUCUGCGGUCUCUGCCGGAGUUUUACUGGUAGUGGAAA